GGAGUGGUUCCCUCAAGAUACGGGAGCAUGAUGCCAUUUUGCUUAGAAGCUCCAGGAGGUGAUCCGCUAACCCGCGGCUCUAAUGUGAUCAGCCGCACCGCUACCGCGAGCAUUUGCAUAAGUGCUCCUCCGAGAUGGACUGCAUUUCUAAUCCAAAGUCACGUCAAGGAAAAAUAGCUGUUGCGGAAUGAUUUAUCCUGUUAUUGGCUAAAUGAAAUUAUUCAAAUCCUGAAA